UCAAUACUUCACUUGUGAUAGUGCUUGACAAGGAUAGCAUUAAUGCAUUUUGAAACAUGUAUUUUCUUCAAUUGUUAGCGUUUAUCAUUUUGUUUAUCAUGUACAACUCACAUAGUCUCCCAGAAGGAUUCUGUAGCAGGUCCGAAAGUACACAGAGUAAGUAGAAUACAUUAUGUUAACAGUUUGUCUAAUCUAGAAAGUAAAACGUUUAUGUUUCAAACGUUUAUUACAAUACAUUAAGAUUAAUUUUAACAUCAUUGUCUUAUUUAAAGAUAAUCAGGAUGCUGAUACACAUACAUUAAAUGGCAUUUAAACGGAUGAUGUGACUAUUAUUCAUUAGUGAAGAUGGUACUGAAUCAGUUUAACACAAA